rnacentral:lncRNA from 1 species
GGAACUGGCUGGCACACAGUGGAUCGCUUCCUUAGCCGUCUCCUGUUGGUGGUUGUGUAUAUCUAAAGGGAAAAUGACAGGCAGAAACCACCAUGAGAAAGAAAGCAGCUGCUCUAAUGAGUAGAGCAGGUUAAUGUGGAGUGGGUAAUCCCCGGGAAUAUGUCUUCACACCUAGAAGUCAGACCAUCCUGGGUUGCUGAGAUGCAGGUGCUGGCCCAGCAGCUUCACAGUGUCCAUCUUAGGCUUUUUCUAGGAAAAAAACAAUGUUGUGCAUGAA